UCCGUAGGUGAACCUGCGGAAGGAUCAUUAAUGAAAUUUAUGACUGGAGUUGUAGCUGGCCUUUAAAAACGGCAUGUGCACGCUCCUUUCACUAAUCCACACACACCUGUGCACCUUCGCGGGGGUCUCUUCGUUAACUCGAAGAGGCUCGCGUCCCUUUACACACCCUUUGUAUGUCUUAAGAAUGUCUACUCGAUGUAAUAAAACGCAUCUAAUACAACUUUCAACAACGGAUCUCUUGGCUCUCGCAUCGAUGAAGAACGCAGCGAAAUGCGAUAAGUAAUGUGAAUUGCAGAAUUCAGUGAAUCAUCGAAUCUUUGAACGCACCUUGCGCCCUUUGGUAUUCCGAAGGGCACACCUGUUUGAGUGUCGUGAAAUUCUCAACCCUCUUCACUUUUGUGAACGUAGUGGAUUGGACUUGGAGGCUUUGCCGGGCUUCACCGCUCGGCUCCUCUCAAAUGCAUUAGUGCGUCUUGUUGCGACGUGCGCCUCGGUGUGAUAAUUAUCUACGCUGUGGUGUGCUUGCUUCUGUGGAGACGCGCUUUCUAACCGUCCGAAAGGACAGCUUUCAUCGAACUUUGACCUCAAAUCAGGUGGGACUACCCGCUGAACUUAAGCAUAUCAAUAAGCGGAGGA
rnacentral:rRNA from 1 species